rnacentral:rRNA from 1 species
AGGAAAUUUGAGAGGAGCUGUCCUUAGUACGAGAGGACCGGGAUGGACGCACCGCUGGUGUACCAGUUGUUCUGCCAAGGGCAUAGCUGGGUAGCUAUGUGCGGAAGGGAUAAGUGCUGAAAGCAUCUAAGCAUGAAGCCCCCCUCAAGAUGAGAUUUCCCAUAGCGUAAGCUAGUAAGAUCCCUGAAAGAUGAUCAGGUUGAUAGGUUCGAGGUGGAAGCAUGGUGACAUGUGGAGCUGACGAAUACUAAUAGAUCGAGGACUUAACCAU